CCUACGGGUGGCAGCAGUGGGGAAUAUUGGACAAUGGGGGGAACCCUGAUCCAGCCAUGCCGCGUGUGUGAAGAAGGCCCUCGGGUUGUAAAGCACUUUCAGUGAGGAAGAACGCCUGGUGGUUAAUACCCAUCAGGAAAGACAUCACUCACAGAAGAAGCACCGGCUAACUCCGUGCCAGCAGCCGCGGUAAUACGGAGGGUGCGAGCGUUAAUCGGAAUUACUGGGCGUAAAGCGCGCGUAGGUGGCUUGAUAAGCCGGUUGUGAAAGCCCCGGGCUCAACCUGGGAACGGCAUCCGGAACUGUCAAGCUAGAGUGCAGGAGAGGAAGGUAGAAGUCCCGGUGUAGCGGUGAAAUGCGUAGAGAUCGGGAGGAAUACCAGUGGCGAAGGUGGCCUUCUGGACUGACACUGACACUGAGGUGCGAAAGCGUGGGUAGCAAACAGGAUUAGAUACCCUAGUAGUC
rnacentral:rRNA from 1 species